GGAGGGAGUAUGUGGGAGUAUGUUUUUGAACCUUCUAUAGCAAAAUUUUCCAAAAAAAAGACGGAUACAGGAGUGUAACAUUUCAUACAUUGAUAUCUGAAAACCUAACGCUGCUCUUCAUUUUUUUUCUACAUUUACUAACCUAUAUGAUAUACAGCACCACAAGAAGCUAAGUGCAACAUUGUAGUAGAUCUUGGCACAUUUAGAACGUCUCCAACGGUAAGGUAGCUGCUAAUUAACUCAACGGGAAAGAGAAAUAAAAGAGAAAUAAAAGUAAAUUCAGGAGGACAACUCGAAGCUCAUGCAGGGAGAGGGGAGAGUAUCGGGGGAGACAUGCAAGCUUAGCUCUUCACCACAAAUUAGCUUGGAUGUUUCUAUACUGUUCAUUGCUUAAAAUAUUAACUUUACUGGCUCAACGCACCCGUUGGAGUCGCCCUACAUUAGAUUCCAUCUUGGGAGAUAAUCUAGGCCGCACAUAAUUCAGGUUGGUAGUUGAGCCACCCCCUUCAUUAUUUC
rnacentral:lncRNA from 1 species